UAGUGUGAAUUGAGCAGUCGCAAGCAAAAAGACGAAAGUGUUUGCUUGAGGAAAGUCCGGGCUCCACAGGGCAAGAAUAACGGGUAACGCCCGCCAGGGGUAACCCUCGGACAAGUGCAACAGAAAUAUACCGCCGUUUUACGGUAAGGGUGGAAAAGUGAGGUAAGAGCUCACUCGUCGGGCGGAGACGUGCCGAUGCUGUAAACUCUAUUCGGAGCAACACCGUGGAGGGAAACUAUGCCUGCCCGGCAUUCCCGAGGAGGUGGCUUGAGCCUUUCGGCAACGAACGGCCUAGAUAGAUGACUGCUUUAAACAGAAUCCGGCUUAUAGAUUCACCUAAAAU
rnacentral:RNase_P_RNA from 1 species